rnacentral:rRNA from 1 species
UACGUAGGAGGCGAGCGUUGUCCGGAAUUACUGGGCGUAAAGCGCGUGUAGGCGGCCCUGCAAGUCGGAUGUGAAAUCCCACGGCUCAACCGUGGAAGUGCAUUCGAAACUGCAGGGCUAGAGUCCUGGAGAGGAAGGUGGAAUGCUUGGUGUAGAGGUGAAAUUCGUAGAUAUCAAGCGGAACACCGGUGGCGAAGGCGGCCUUCUGGACAGUGACUGACGCUGAGACGCGAAAGCUAGGGGAGCAAACGGG